UACGUAGGGUGCAAGCGUUGCCCCGGAUUUAUUGGGCGUAAAGGGCGCGUAGGCGGCUCUGCACGUUCGUUGUGAAAAUCGCCCGGCUCAACUGGGCGGGGGUCAGCGGAUACGGCAGAGCUUGAGCAAGCUAGGGGGCAAUGGAAUUCCCGGUGUAGUGGUGGAAUGCGUAGAUAUCGGGAGGAACACCAGUGGCGAAGGCGGUUGCCUGGGGCUUUGCUGACGCUGAGGAGCGAAAGCAUGGGGAGCGAACAGG
rnacentral:rRNA from 1 species